CUUCUUUCUUUCAAAAUAAUUAAGCUUGUGCACUACCCUUCGAAUUUACUACCAUUAACAUUUCCUACCAAAUUCUUGCAAUUGCUGAGCGAUCUUUUGUUUGAAUCUUUGUACGUUCUUAAUGAAUAUGGCGAAGAGUACAGUAUGAUACGAGUGCCUCAUCGCCGAUGAAGAACUCAUCAUCGCAAAUCAAAGAAUUCUAACUCAUUAAUAAUAAGAUGCUCAGCUAGAAAGUAUUAAGAAUAGUUCAAUGGACUAUAAUUAGUUUAGUUUAUUUAAUUGUCGUUAAUUUUAUCAGUGUAGACACAAAAGGAAAACCAUCACUGAGUUGAAUUUAUAUGUGCUUAUAUAUCUCACUAUUCGCCCAAUAGAGUAUAGUGAACGAAAAAUUAUGUGUAUAUGAAACGGAUGGCGAAGGGAUGAUAAUAGGAAAACAUCACUGUGAACUCACUAGCUAUCGUGAGCUAUAUGUUUCGGGAGUGAGAUAGAACGCAUACAGGAGCAGAAUGGAUUUAAGCACUACGUCGCGCCGGCCGGCGGAAAACGUUGCCGAGUUGCAGAAGACGCGCGUGGCCAAAAGUGUCUUUAGCAUUCGGAGUCUUGUCAACGUCGAUGAGACAACAAACACUAUUAGCGGGAAGGACAGAGUAUUUGAAGAAGAAGAAUCCAAUUUAAGAGACACGCCUACUGCACCGAUUAUACUGCUAUUUACCUGGUCUCUCCACGAAUAUAUUUUGUACGAGCUUUGUGGUUUUCUGGCGACGAGUACAUUAAAAUUCAUCCUGCUAAAGUUAAGAUUUCGAGAGUGGUACAUAUAAUUCAUCUAAUCGGUCGAAGACACAAUCCAGCACUCAUUUAAGAGUGCGAACAGGAAGUCAAUAAUAUGUUAAUAUGUAUAUAUAUCGUGAGAGAAAAAGAGAGAGAGAUAGAAAUAUGAUAAAAGUUGUACAUUGGACGAUUCUCAGCAUGAUUUUGCUACCUUGAAAAUUUUUAGUGAGGUGAAUAGCAUAUAAGAAUUGCCUUGAAGAGAGUUUCAAAUUUUCGAAUUAAUAGAGGACAAGGCACGUACAUUACCCAAGUUCUGAUAGUGUCAGGAUAUUAUUGUCUCUGUCCUACAACCUACUCCAACAGCUCCCAGAAUCUAAUACUCGUUCAACGACUUUAUAAAAAAAAAAUACAACUGCAGAGAGACUACAGACAAAAAUGCAGACAUAACUGUAGGAGAACAUAUGAAUCAGAAUUUAACGAAGCUGAGAUUUUAGUAUAAUCCUAUUUAUAAGUUAAUUGUAACAAAAUUAUUCCGU